UGAAUAAACGUCUUAUAAAAUAAUCCUGGUCUCUCUCUUUAUUUUGAUGUUAAAUUUAUUUUCAUGUAUUCAUUCUAUUUAUAAAUGGUAAAAUAAACCCUGUAGCUGGUCGAUAUGCAUUUUGAGUGGGCGAAGUAUCAAUUGCGCACAUGCCGGCUUUAUAAACUGCUUGGUGUACGUGACAGUAACUUGUUUACUCGCGAAAGCUAUACGGGUUAUGCGAAUAUUCAGUGAGGCAGAUCCAAGCGCUUCGUUAACACAACUAAACUACAGGAUGGAUAUGGUCCAUACCCAAGGAAAGCAAGACAAAAAGGUGGCGACUCUUCUGAACCGAGACAUGGUAGACUCCAUUAAUCUACUCAUAGCCACCAGAGCAGCUUGUGGCAUUCUAGAUACAAACAAGUAUGUGUUUGCCAACCAAUUAGAUGGACACCUAAGUACCUGGACAAGUCUGCGUGACCAGGCAGUACAGGCCCAGUGCAGUAAACCCGAGUUGAUAAACUGCAACUCUUUGAGGAACUCUACAUCGCAACAGUAUGUCAGCUCAUACUUAUUUCUUUCAGCUGAUGGAUCUCAAUGAUGGCGAGGUCCAAUGGGUGUCCAGCCAUUUGGGGCACACAGUCAAAACACAUAAAGAUUUUUACAGGCUGCAAGAAGCAGCUAUAGAAAUCGGAAAGGUUUCAAAGCUGCUGAUAGCAGCAGAAAGUGGGAAACUUUCAAAAUAUAAAGGGAAAUCUCUUGCAGCCUUACAAUUUGAUGAUGAUGAUGAAUCCGAUAAUGAUGAAGAUGAUGAUGAUGAAGAGGCAACAAAAGACGAUUCAAUAGACGAUGCUCUGGCCGGAGACAUCAAUGAUAUGCCAUUAGCUGAUGGAUCUGACAGAAAGGACGAAGUGGGGGAUGAUUCACUCAACCAAGAAAUAGUUAUGUCUCCCCCUCUCUGGGGGAGACAUAUUGUUUUUGCCCUGUCCGUCAGUCCGGUAGUCCGUCAGUCCGUCAGUCCGUCCGUACGUCACACUUCGUUUCCGAUCGAUAACUGGAAAACCGCAUGACCUAGGAUCACCAAACUUGGUAGGGAGGUUGGUCAUGAGGUGUAGAAGAUCCCUAUUGUUUUUGGGGUCACUAGGUCAAAGGUCAAGGUCGCGGCGACCCCCAAUGUAAAAAACAUUUCCGCUCAAUAUCUUGACAAUGGUGUGACCUAGGUUCACCAAACUUGGUAGGGAGGUUGGUCAUGAGGUGUAGAGGAUCCCUAUUGUUUUUGGGGUCACUAGGUCAAAGGUCAAGGUCGCGGCGACCCCCAAUGUAAAAAACAUUUCCGCUCAAUAUCUUGAGAAUGGUUUGACCUAGGUUCACCAAACUUGGUAGGGAGGUUGGUCGUGAGGUGUAGAGGAUCCCUAUUGUUUUUGGGGUCACUAGGUCAAAGGUCAAGGUCGCGGCGACCCCCAAUAUAAAAAACAUUUCUGCUCAAAAUCUUGAGAACGGUUUGACCUAGGUUCACCAAACUUGGUAGGGAGGUUGGUCAUGAGGUGUAGAAGAUCCCUAUUGUUUUUGGGGUCACUAGGUCAAAGGUCAAGGUCGCGGCGACCCCCAAUGUAAAAAACAUUUCCGCUCAAUAUCUUGAGAAUGGUUUGACCUAGGUUCACCAAACUUGGUAGGGAGGUUGAUCAUGAGGUUUAGAAAACUCCUAUAUUUUUGGGGGUCACAAGGUCAAAGGUCAACGUCGCUGUGACCUCUAAUGUAAAAAAAUAUUUCCGUGCAAUAUCAGGAGAAUGCUUUGAUCUAGGUUCACCAAACUUUGAAGUGAGGUUGGUCAUGAUGUCUAGUUGAUUUUGCAAUCAGUUGGUCAAAGGUCAAGGUCACUGACCUUGAGGUGAAGAACCGGUUUCUGCUCAAUAACUCAAGAACGUUUACACCCAGGAACUUCAUACUUGGUAUGCCAGUUAGUCAUGACUAGUUGAUGGCCCCUAUUGAUUUUGGGAUCCAUCAUUGAUUAUUUCUCACCUACGACCACACAAUGGGGGGAGACAUGCGCUUUUUCAAAAAAGCAAUCUCUAGUUCAAGAAGAAAAUGGUACAUUUCAAUAACCUUUAAUACAUUCCUAAAGUUAUUAUGCCCCCCUUUGAAGAAGCGGGGAUGCAUUGCUUUGCAAAUGUCGGUUGAUCAGUUGGUCUUUUUGUUGAUGGACCAAAUGUUGUCCACUCAAUAACUAGGUUUGACCUACAUUCAUUAAACUUGCAAUGGUAUAUACUUUUCAGUUCAAUCUUAACCAAUCUUAGUGAAAACCUUUGUGGGUAUAUUAUCUGAUAAUCAGCAAAAUCGCUUACGUCUUCCCAGGAUUAUGGCCCUUGAUUUAUCCAAAUUUGGCCAAUUUUGCUCUCUUAACUCCCUUAUUUUUAGUCCCAAUCAUCACCAAACGUGUAGAAAAUGUUUGUUAGCAUAAUAUCUUAAUCAAGUUGGAUAACCAGGGAAAUCUCUACAGGCACUCCAGGAUAAAAGCCCUUAAAUUGUACACAUUUGUCCAAACUAGCCUUGUCUGGUCACUGGCUCAAAUAUUUUCAGUCUGAUCUUCACCAGACUUAGUUAAAAUGAUUGAGGGAUUAUGUCUUGGUCAAGAGAGAACAAGCAAACUGCUGCAGGCACUCCUUAAUGAUGGUCCUCGAAAUUUUCCAAGUUAGUUUGUCUACCCUCCAACUUACAUUUCAGUCUGAUAUUCUCCAUAUAAAAUAUUUGUAGGCAUAUAAUCUCAGUCAAGUUUAAUAGCUAGGGAAAUAGCUAUAGACACUCCUGGAUUAUAGCCCUUGAACUGUUUAGCCAAUUAAGCCUUUUAUUCUCUCUAACACAUUUUUAGUUGGAACUUCACUAAACUUGAUAAAAAUGUUUGUAUACAAAAUAUCUCAGCGUAUGAGACAGGCUGCAAAUAGUGUUGGGGCAUACAUUUUACGUACAUCUCAUGUUGUUGUUCAUGUUUCUGUCCUUGCGCAUAUUGAGCACAGCAGAGUUUGACCGAACCUUCUGGUAGCGGAAGACCCUUGAUGCCCCUCUGAGUGAGCAUGUCUGAUACUUGUGCAAGCAACUAUGUCCAACCAGUGAUGUUAGAAAGUCUGAACAGAUCUGUUAGAGCUAGAACUUGGGCUAUGUUGUGAAGCACUAAUUAUUAUAAAUUUGAGAUCUUUUUCAUGCAUCAUUAUAACAACACACCAUUUGCAGUUGUCACUUGGAACUUUGAAAUCAAUGUCUGGAGUACACUUUUGUGGCUUUAGUAGCUAACUUUUGCAACCUUUUAUUUUUAACCUUUUUAAGAAGGUAAAGCUUUUUUUUGUAUAUUACAUAGAACUAUAGUGCCUGUUUCAAACAAUAAUAUGAUCAGAAAGUGUUAUAUGUAUUUUAUAGCCAUUGACUCAUCAAAUGACGAACCACCAGAAAAACCUCCUUACCAAAGACCCCAGAGAAAACGGCGUGUGAAGGCUGCUAGGAAGGAAAUUUGCUCAAGAGCCAGAGAAUCAUCAGUUGAAGAAUUACCAGUUGCACGGCUUUGUCAA